UUAAGAUCUCUCACAAAUUUUUGGCUUAGCUUUCAAGUCCAUCAAGAUCAGACAACAAUUAUAGGAGGAGCUCAUGAUGUCAACAUUCUCUAACAAUUAUAGGAGGUUCGUGUUGAUAGCUAUAGUGACGGUGUUGGUGAUUUUGAUUGGUUCUCCUAAAUAUGGAGAAGCAUGGAGGCCAUUACUACAAGAUGAGUUCACGCAAAUGCUUCCAAAAAGUCCUCCAAACCCAUCAACCGGGGAUGAUACUAAUGGUAUACACGGCAAUCCACCACCAUUGCGGUGAAGACAAGACCAAAGAGAGCAAGGAAAAGAUGUGCCAAGCUGGGUUUCUCUUCUCCCGAUUGGAACACUAUAAAUCUCAAGAAUACUCUUCUCUUUUUAAGCUUUUUUACUUUAAUUUCUUCUCCUUUUGGAGAUCCCCUGUUUUAAAUUCUUUAUGUGUUGUCCAAUUUGGACCAUGCUUCUCAUUUAGCUGUAUUUCUUUUUUCUUGUUUCGAAUUAAAAAUUUAUUAAUUAGUUUA